UACAUAGGGGGCAAGCGUUAUCCGGAUUUACUGGGUGUAAAGGGGGCGCAGACGGCAGCGCAAGCCAGGAGUGAAAGCCCGGGGCCCAACCCCGGGACUGCUCUUGGAACUGCGCGGCUGGAGUGCAGGAGGGGCAGGCGGAAUUCCUGGUGUAGCGGUGAAAUGCGUAGAUAUCAGGAGGAACACCGGUGGCGAAGGCGGCCUGCUGGACUGCGACUGACGUUGAGGCCCGAAAGCGUGGGGAGCAAACAGG
rnacentral:rRNA from 1 species